rnacentral:rRNA from 1 species
ACGAACGCUGGCGGCGUGCCUAAUGUAUGCAAGUCGAACGCAGCGGCCGAGUGCCGGCUGCGUGGCGAACGGCUGAGGAACACGUGGGUAACCACCCCCGGAGUGGGGGAUACCCCGUCGAAAGACAGGACAAUCCCGCAUACGCUCUACGGAGGAAAGCCGCAAGGCGCUCCGGGACGGGCCUGCGGCCCAUCAGGUAGUUGGUGUGGUAAUGGCGCACCAAGCCAGUGACGGGUACCCGGUCUGAGAGGACGGCCGGGCAGACUGGGACUGCGACACGGCCCAGACUCCUACGGGAGGCAGCAGCAAGGAAUUUUCCCCAAUGGGCACACGCCUGAGGGAGCAACGCCGCGUGGAGGACGACGGCCUUCGGGUUGUAAACUCCUUUCGGGUGGGACGAAACUGACGGUACCACCAGAAGCAGCCCCGGCUAACUCUGUGCCAGCAGCCGCGGUAAGACAGAGGGGGCAAGCGUUGUCCGGAGUUACUGGGCGUAAAGGGCGCGGAGGCGGUCUGCUGCGUCGGCGCUGAAAGCGCCCCGCUUAACGGGGCGAGGCGCGCCGAUACGAGCAGGCUGGAGGCGAGCAGAGGGUGGUGGAAUUCCGGGUGGAGCGGUGAAAUGCGUAGAGAUCCGGAGGAACGCCGGUGGAGCAGUCGGCCACCUGGGCUCGACCUGACGCUGCGGCGCGACCGCGUGGGGAGCAAACCGGAUUAGAUACCCGGGUAGUCCACGCCGUAAACGAUGCCGGCUCGGCGUUUGGCGCGCGUGAGCGUGCUGGGCGCCUUAGCUAACGCGGUAAGCCGGCCGCCUGGGGACUACGAGCGCAAGCUUAAAACUU